AGUGGGGAAUCUUGCGCAAUGGCCGAAAGGCUGACGCAGCGACGCCGCGUGUGGGAUGACGGCCUUCGGGUUGUAAACCACUGUCGGAAGGGACGAAUGGCCCGCAAGGGCAGUGACGGUACCUUCAAAGGAAGCACCGGCUAACUCCGUGCCAGCAGCCGCGGUAAUACGGAGGGUGCGAGCGUUGUCCGGAAUCACUGGGCGUAAAGGGCGCGUAGGCGGCCCGGUAAGUAGGGGGUGAAAUCUUGCGGCUUAACCGCAAGGCUGCCUUCUAGACUGCCAGGCUUGAGCACAGUAGAGGCAGGUGGAAUUCCCGGUGUAGCGGUGGAAUGCGUAGAGAUCGGGAAGAACAUCAGUGGCGAAGGCGGCCUGCUGGACUGUAGCUGACGCUGAGGCGCGACAGCGUGGGGAGCAAACAGGAUUAGAUACCCUGGUAGUCCACGCCGUACACGAUGGGCACUAGGCGUCGGGGGGAGCGACCCUCCCGGUGCCGUCGCUAACGCAGUAAGUGCCCCGCCUGGGGAGUACGGCCGCA
rnacentral:rRNA from 1 species